rnacentral:rRNA from 1 species
UAGUCAUAUGCUCGUCUCAAAGAUUAAGCCAUGCAUGUCUAAGUAUAAGCAUUUAUACUGUGAAACUGCGAACGGCUCAUUAAAUCAGUUAUCGUUUAUUUGAUAUUUCCUUUACUACAUGGAUAACCGUAGUAAUUCUAGAGCUAAUACAUGCGCAAAAUUCCAAUCCGCAAGGAGAGGAAUGUAUUUAUUAGAUUACAAAACCAACUCGUACUCUGUACGGUUUAAUGGUGAUUCAUAAUAACUCUAUCGAAUCGUAUGGCCUUGUGCCGACGAU